UAUGUACUCCCUCCGUCCGGAAUUACUUGUCAUAAAAAUGGAUGUGUCUAGAACUAAAAUACAUCUAGAUACAUCCAUUUCAAUGACAAGUAUUUCCGGACGGAGGGAGUACAUC
rnacentral:pre_miRNA from 1 species